CAGAAAAUAGUUUAAAUAAAAAUAUAAACUUUGGAAGUUUAAGAUGCAUAUAACACUUUUCUGA
rnacentral:tRNA from 1 species